rnacentral:rRNA from 1 species
UACGUAGGUGACCAGCGUUGUCCGGAUUUACUGGGCGUAAAGAGCGCGCAGGCGGUCGUUCAAGUCGAGUGUGAAAGCCCCCGGCUCAACUGGGGAGGGUCAUUCGAUACUGAUCGACUUGAAGGCAGGAGAGGGAAGUGGAAUUCCCGGUGUAGUGGUGAAAUGCGUAGAUAUCGGGAGGAGCACCAGUGGCGAAGGCGACUUCCUGGCCUGUUCUUGACGCUGAGGCG